GGCACAUUCGGGGACAAGCAGGAGAGCUGGGGCUGAAGCAGGUGAAAAAAGAGGAGAAUGCCGGAGAUAAGAGAAUAAUAGUGGGCCUUGUGACAGAAGAUCUGACAGGUCAUCAGGAAGAUGAAAAAGAAAUUGCUGUUCUCUGCCUACAAGCAUUUCCUAUUGCUUGGCUAACCCUGAGCACAGCAGUCCAGAACCAGCAGUGUGUGAGAUCUCCAGAGGAGAACUAUAAGAGCUUGAAGGAAGAAGAAAUAAUAUGCCGACUGCGGACUUCUGAGGGGGACUGGCCUGAGGAAACACGAAAGAAGCAAACACUACUGUGGGUGAGAGAGAAAUUACAGCCCCACAAAUGUAUCCUAACGAUGAGCGAUGAGCUGUCACCGGCAUCUUGAUUAAACAUGUUUGGUUUUGCGAUUUCA